rnacentral:rRNA from 1 species
ACGUAGGGGGCAAGCGUUGCUCGGAAUUACUGGGCGUAAAGGGUGUGUAGGUGGCUGAUUAAGUUAAGGAUGAAAUCCCGAGGCUCAACUUCGGAACUGUCCUUGAUACUGGUCAGCUUGAGGCUAGUAAAGGAGAGCGGAAUUCCAGGUGUAGGAGUGAAAUCCGUAGAUAUCUGGAGGAACACCAGUGGCGAAGGCGGCCACCUGGCCGGCAACUGACGCUGAGGUGCGAAAGCGUGGGGAUCAAACAG